rnacentral:SRP_RNA from 1 species
GGGAGGCUGGCAGUGGACGCGCCGCUCGCCAACCGGGUCAGGUCCGGAAGGAAGCAGCCCCAACGAGUUUGGCACGGGUCGCCGUCCAGUCUCCCACU